AGCAGCCGCGGUAAUUCCAGCUCCAAUAGCGUAUAUUAAAGUUGUUGCAGUUAAAAAGCUCGUAGUUGAAUUUCGGGAUCAAUAUUUCGGUCAUGCCGUUGGUAUGCACUGUUAUCAUUGAUUUCUCACCUUCUAAAGAACCGUAAUGCCAUUAAUUUGGUGUUACGGGGAAUUAGGACUGUUACCUUGAAAAAAUUAGAGUGUUUAAAGCAGGCUCACGCUUGAAUACAUUAGCAUGGAAUAAUGAAAUAGGACAUCCGAUUCUAUUUUGUUGGUUUCUAGGAUCGAUGUAAUGAUUAAUAGGGAUAGUUGGGGGCAUUAGUAUUCAAUUGUCAGAGGUGAAAUUCUUGGAUUUAUUGAAGACUAACUACUGCGAGAGCAUUUGCCAAGGAUGUUUUCAUUAAUCAAGAACGAAAGUUAGGGGAUCGAAGACGAUCAGAUACCGUCGUAGUCUUAACCAUAAACUAUGCCGACUAGGGAUCGGAUGAUGUUAUUUUUUAAUGA
rnacentral:sRNA from 1 species